GAAUUCUCAACAUUUGUGUAAUUUUGUUACACAUAUGAAUAUCCUUUAGGAAAUUUCGAAGCCACUUUACUCAUCAUUUCCUUUUAAUGGAAAUUUUCCCUUUCAUACAAACCAUUGUAGUUUGAAGCCUCAUAAUUAGAAACUUAAUUCUACAAAAUAGGGCUUUAUCCCCACAUUUCAGUUGUUGUCUUUGUAAGAUGGAGAAAUACAUAUUUCUGGUCAUUUCAACACUAUUUCUCUUCUUGGAAGUAUUCGUCAAUUGUGUUUGUCAAAUAUAGAUAAUACACUGACAUGUUUUCCCUCUUUAGGAAAAUUUGCAAAAACCAAAUAUUU
rnacentral:lncRNA from 1 species